GCUUUCGUAGUUCAAAGGACAGAACUGCGGUUUCCUAAACCGUCAAUCCCGGUUCGAGUCCGGGCGAGAGCGCCA
rnacentral:tRNA from 1 species